UGGCUUAGUGGUUAAGAGCACUGGCUGCUCUUCCAGAGGACCUGAGUUCAAUUCUCAG
rnacentral:tRNA from 1 species